UGAAGCUGGAAUUGCUAGUAAUCAUAGGUCAGCAUACUAUGGUGAAUACGUUCCCGGGCCUUGUACACACCGCCCGUCACACCAUGAGAGUUGGGGAUACCCGAAGCCUGUGAGCUAACAUUUAUGAGGCAGCAGUCGAAGGUAGAAUCAAUGAUUGGGGUGAAGUCGUAACAAGGUAAC
rnacentral:rRNA from 1 species